CCUACGGGAGGCAGCAGUGAGGAAUAUUGGUCAAUGGACGAGAGCCUGAACCAGCCAAGUAGCGUGAAGGAUGACUGCCCUAUGGGUUGUAAACUUCUUUUAUAAAGGAAUAAAACGAGGCACGUGUUCCUUUUUGUAUGUACUUUAUGAAUAAGGAUCGGCUAACUCCGUGCCAGCAGCCGCGGUAAUACGGAGGAUGCGAGCGUUAUCCGGAUUUAUUGGGUUUAAAGGGAGCGUAGAUGGGUUGUUAAGUCAGUUGUGAAAGUUUGCGGCUCAACCGUAAAAUUGCAAUUGAUACUGGUAGUCUUGAGUACAGUUGAGGUAGGCGGAAUUCGUGGUGUAGCGGUGAAAUGCUUAGAUAUCACGAAGAACCCCGAUUGCGAAGGCAGCUUACUAAACUAUAACUGACAUUGAUGCUCGAAAGUGUGGGUAUCAAACAGGAUUAGAUACCCCAGUAGUC
rnacentral:rRNA from 1 species